AGAGAGAGACAUGCGCGCAUAUCAAUAAGCGGAGGAAAAGAAACUAACAAGGAUUCCCUUAGUAACGGCGAGUGAAGCGGGAAGAGCUCAAAUUUGAAAUCUUCAAGGUUUUACCUUGACGAAUUGUAGUUUAAAGAAGUGUUUUCUGCUGAAGUUUUGGUAAAAGUUCUUUGGAAUAGGACAUCAUAGAGGGCGAGAAUCCCGUAUUUGACCAUUAUUUUCAGCUUUGUGAUACACUUUCAAAGAGUCGGAUUGUUUGGGAAUGCAGUCCAAAAUGGGUGGUAAAUUUCAUCUAAAGCUAAAUAUUGGCGAGAGACCGAUAGCGAACAAGUACCGUGAGGGAAAGAUGAAAAGAACUUUGAAAAGAGAGUUAAACAGUACGUGAAAUUGUCAAAAGGGAAGCGUUUGACACCAGUGUUGUUUUCUCGAAAAUCAAUUAAAAAUGGCUCGAUUUUGUAUUGCUUGAGACCUUAAAAGCUCACUGUACAUUUUUCGUGUCUUUUUUAAUGCACUUUUCGUUUAACAAGUCAACAUCAGUUUCUUUUGUUGUAAAAGGGUCAUUGGAAGGUGGCUUUCUUUUCGGAGAAAGUGUUUAUAGCCUUUGGCCUCUGCAAUCGGAGAGACUGAGGUCUGCAGCGUAGACUCUUCGGGGUUAGAUACAUUUGUGCUAAGUUAUAGCUUUUUAUAGACAACUUGUUGACUAUAAUUAGUCUUGUAGCUUACUCGCUUAUGCUAUUUUACCUACGCUUAGGAUGUUGAAGAUGUAGCACAUCAU
rnacentral:rRNA from 1 species